rnacentral:misc_RNA from 1 species
UUUUUUUUUUUAUUUUUUUAUUUUCCCCCUUCUAAUCUCCUACCAAAUGAAGUUCUUAACUGCAAAAAAUUUUCCAACUGUUUCCAAUUGUGUUGUCAUCAUAAAGGAAAUUAUACCUUACAAUUUUCGAAGUAGCAAUCCAUUGAACAAUUGCGGGUGAAAGAAAAAAGAAUUUUGUUACUAUGUUCUGAGAUGAGAUACAAAAUGUUUUCACAGUACAAGUUUAUGAGACUCUGUAUGCUUUAGUAGUUUACUUUAUCUUGAAGUUUCUGGUGACUUUCACAUUUGACAGUUAUUGGUUAGUGCUUACCUGGAUUUUUUCUAGCAGGAAGAGAAUAUGAUAAAGGAAAUGAGAGAAGUGGGACAUAGACACACAAUUUCUUUAUUAAGUGCUAUAGAAACAGGAAUUGGCAGGAAACUACUUGAAAAAGAACUUCAAAUACAGAACAUGAAUCGCAAGAACAAUGAACUAGCAGAAAAAGUAAAGCAAAUUAGUACAGAAGUUCAUUCCUGGCAGUGCAGAGCAAAGUAUAAUGAGUCUCUAGUUAAUGCUUUGAAAAGCAAUCUGAAGCAGGUAAUGGCACAGUGCAUUAGUCAUUGCAAGGAAGGGUGUGGGGAUAGUGAGGUAGAUAAUGCAGCAUUUAAUGCUAAUCAGAACCAUAAGAGCAUCAUGGGAGGAAACUCAAUCUCCUUCGAAAGGCAGAUUACUUGUAGAGCUUGCAAAUCAAAGGAAGCCUCUAUCUUAUUAUUGCCAUGUAGACAUUUGUGUUUGUGUAAAGAUUGUGCAGGGUUCGUAGAUACUUGCCCAAUUUGCCAGACAAGGAAAACUGCAGGUGUUGAAGUAUUUAUGUCUUAAACUAUGUUACGUUGUUAAGGCAUAUAUCUAAGCACUUGUAAUCUUCAUGGCAUAUAGGGAAACGAGUUUGUUUAAAUUAUGUUGUUUCGAUGGUUCUGGGUUUUGUGCUUGAACAUAUUAGCGAGUUUGAUGCCAUGCCUUUUUACCAGAAAGGCUAGUCAGAACUUGAAGGAGUCAUCUUAUUCUAUUAAUCUAUCUAUUCUAACUAGUUGUGGCAGCUUUCCGCAGAUAAUUGGAAGAUGAUGGGAACUGCGCUUUUUUUUUUUUUU